rnacentral:lncRNA from 1 species
CUAUGAGUUUUCUAAGAGUGUCACAUAUCUAAAAACUCUUUCUCCUAGUUUUUAUUUUUGGAAGAGUCCAAAUCAAGAAGAAAGAGGCAUCUGAUCAACCAUCGAAGAAGGAUCAGCACAGUACCAGCAUACUGUGCUGAUUUUCUGGACCAGGACUUUUGAUUGUGAUUCGUUGGCUCGUGUGGAUGACUCCUAGAGAUCAGAUGUAUGUGUGGCUUGCAAUAUCAUCCUCAAGCUCGGAUCAGC